rnacentral:rRNA from 1 species
AGUGAACGCUGGCGGUAGGCCUAACACAUGCAAGUCGAACGGCAGCACAGUAAGAGCUUGCUCUUACGGGUGGCGAGUGACGGACGGGUGGGGAAUACAUCGGAAUCUACUUUUUCGUGGGGGAUAACGUAGGGAAACUUACGCUAAUACCGCAUACGACCUACGGGUGAAAGCAGGGGAUCUUCGGACCUUGCGCGAUUGAAUGAGCCGAUGUCGGAUUAGCUAGUUGGCGGGGUAAAGGCCCACCAAGGCGACGAUCCGUAGCUGGUCUGAGAGGAUGAUCAGCCACACUGGAACUGAGACACGGUCCAGACUCCUACGGGAGGCAGCAGUGGGGAAUAUUGGACAAUGGGCGCAAGCCUGAUCCAGCCAUACCGCGUGGGUGAAGAAGGCCUUCGGGUUGUAAAGCCCUUUUGUUGGGAAAGAAAAGCAGCAGGUUAAUACCCCGCUGUUCUGACGGUACCCAAAGAAUAAGCACCGGCUAACUUCGUG